UUUCCGUAGGUGAACCUGCGGAGGGAUCAUUACCGAGCUCAUGCCCUUACGGGUAGAUCUCCCACCCUGUGUUAUUAUUACCUUUGUUGCUUUGGCGGGCCGCCAGGCUCCGGUCAGGCUAUCGGCUUCGGCUGGUAAGCGCCCGCCAGAGGACCCUAUAUCCUGAUUAUUAGUGUCGUCUGAGUACUAUAUAAUAGUUAAAACUUUCAACAACGGAUCUCUUGGUUCUG
rnacentral:misc_RNA from 1 species